rnacentral:rRNA from 1 species
GUGCCAGCAGCCGCGGUAAUACGUAGGGUGCGAGCGUUGUCCGGAAUUAUUGGGCGUAAAGAGCUCGUAGGCGGUGUGUCACGUCGAUCGUGAAAACUUACAGCUUAACUGUGAGCGUGCGGUCGAUACGGGCAUCACUGGAGUUCGGCAGGGGAGACUGGAAUUCCUGGUGUAGCGGUGAAAUGCGCAGAUAUCAGGAGGAACACCGGUGGCGAAGGCGGGUCUCUGGGCCGAUACUGACGCUGAGGAGCGAAAGCGUGGGGAGCGAACAGGAUUAGAAACCCCGGUAGUCC